CUACAUAAACGUAUGGCUUUGGUCUUUUAAUCCCCCAGAUCUCAAUCCGAUUGAGCAUCUGUGGGAUGUGCUGGGGCCCCAAAUCCAAUCCAUGGAGGCCAAAGCUCGCAAUUUGCAGGGCUUAAAGGAUCUGUUGAUAAUAUCUUGGUGUUAGAUACCACCAGACAUGAUUAGAGGUCUUGUGUAGUCCAUGCCUCAACGUAUCAGAGCUGUUUUGGCAGCACGAGGGGGAAGCACACAAUAUUAG